CCUACGGGAGGCAGCAGUGGGGAAUCUUGCGCAAUGGGCGAAAGCCUGACGCAGCCAUGCCGCGUGAAUGAUGAAGGUCUUAGGAUUGUAAAAUUCUUUCACCGGGGACGAUAAUGACGGUACCCGGAGAAGAAGCCCCGGCUAACUUCGUGCCAGCAGCCGCGGUAAUACGAAGGGGGCUAGCGUUGCUCGGAAUUACUGGGCGUAAAGGGAGCGUAGGCGGAUAGUUUAGUCAGAGGUGAAAGCCCAGGGCUCAACCUUGGAAUUGCCUUUGAUACUGGCUAUCUUGAGUGUGGGAGAGGUAUGUGGAACUCCGAGUGUAGAGGUGAAAUUCGUAGAUAUUCGGAAGAACACCAGUGGCGAAGGCGACAUACUGGCCCAUUACUGACGCUGAGGCUCGAAAGCGUGGGGAGCAAACAGGAUUAGAUACCCUGGUAGUCCACGCUGUAAACGAUGAGUGCUAGUUGUCGGCAUGCAUGCAUGUCGGUGACGCAGCUAAACGCAUUAAAGCACUCCGCCUGGGGAGUACGGUCGCAAGAUUAAAAACUCAAAAGGAAUUGACGG
rnacentral:rRNA from 1 species